AGUUUUAUAUUUUAAGAAAAAAUUUUAAAUUGCAAAUUUAAAGAAGGUAAAUUAACCUAAAACUU
rnacentral:tRNA from 1 species